GUUAAAAGUGGUAACACGGAACACGAACCUUAUCGUUUUCCGUCAAAAGUGUUCAAGGUGGAAGUCGUUGACGCCAUUUCGUACCUCGUUUCGCUGUUAGCGUCACGAAAGUUUCUUCUCUUUUUACUUUAAUUUCAUUUCGCCAAAACGUCGCAACAACAUUGAACAAAAAUCUGAUAACUUUCGUGGCCUUGAAAAAUAUAUAAGCGUCUUUUGCGUUUCCCG